ensembl:lncRNA
UAUUAUUCUAACAGUAGGUGGAUUAAUAGUGAAAAUCGGCAGGCUGUUCUCAUUCCAAACCACACUGCUUUUACAAGUGCCUGCUUCUUGCUCAAAUAGAAAUACAAGCACAUUUCAGGAAAAUUCUGAAUAAUGUAAGCCUUGGCUUAGCAAAUGAAGGUGCUAUUGGAGGAUUCAACAAAAGAUUUGAGAUCACUUCUUUUCAUGCUUAAUAUCUCCCAAAGGAGAAGAAGCCGCCCUAAAGUAUUCCAAAAAUAUGAGAGAUAAUCAACUUACAGAACAGCAGAGCUUCUCCAAAAGAGGAAGAGAUUGUUGAUUAACAGCUAAGAGUUGUGAUGAAGGAUGAACAGCUGAGUUUUUUCUUCCUUGAACUGGAGCUGAGGAUGACACAUCAAGAGGAAAUGCAAGACAGGCAGGCUGAGAUUUCAUUUGGACACAAGCAGAUGGAUCUGGAACAGAGAGAUUGAUCUGAAGCUUGUCCAUAUAAAGACAGUAAUUAACUUUGUACUUACAGAUGAGUCAGGUGCACAAGAAAAGAGAAGGAAACCACGGGAAAACAGCUCUACAAGACCCACAAUAUGAGCGAAUAUUUUCCUUCCUUAUUUUCAUGUCCACGUAAUAACGUGUGCUUUUUACUGUCACUUGCUUCAGCAAUUUCUUAUUUUAACAGAGAAAUCAGAUUUUCCACAGCCCGAAGCCUUCAGAGAAGCCUUGCAAUACAAAAAUAUUGUACUGACAGUAGCAUAUAUUUUCAGGGGAAGAAAUAUACAUAUAUUCCAGUUUUGGGAAUCUAAAUGGCCACUGACAUAUGUACAAAAAACAAUAAGCAGUAAGUUGUAUAUUGAAUACUGCAUGCAAGUGAGAACCAUUUUAUACGACGCUUUGAAAAGAGAAAAAUUAAGUUUCAUCACUAUACUGACAGAGCUGGACACUGAAGCUUCUGGUCUUCCUUUUUGCUGACAAGAUACACCAAUGUGCCUUGAAACUGGUCUCUGGCAUUGGCCUAUAUUGCCAAGAGGCUGAUCUUACUGACAGUGAAUACUUUCUUUCAAUACACAACACACACAUGGGAUGCAGAGUUUCUUUGGUUCCUGCAGAUGCUCAGGAAAUGCUGUAUCAACCACAAGGUCUUUUAAUGAUUGACAUUUCAAUGCACUGCAAGAGCAUCAGAGAGUAAGAGAUUACAGCGUGCUGCAGGCAGAAGGUCCGUGCUGCAUAAAAACGUAUUCUCUUCAUUAUUACCUAUUUGACAAAGAUUUAAGAGGGUUUUUGCAGCUGAGGCCACACAGAAAAGAUUACAAAUCAUUUCCAAAAGACAAAUUGCAAAAAGCCUGGGUAAUUUCCAGUGAGAUGUACUCGCCUACAUGAAG